GCCCUGGUAGUGUAGUCUGGCACAGCUUAAAUGAGCUUAAUAAGCUGCAGGAACUAUCAUGAAGCCCUGUCGAGGCUUCGACCCGGGUUCAAAUGGCUGAAAAGUCAGCAUCAAAGUGGCUAAAUGAUUUUUCAGAAUGAAAGUCCCGGCCAGGGCG
rnacentral:tRNA from 1 species